CUACGGGUUGCACCAGUGGGGAAUAUUGCACAAUGGGCGCAAGCCUGAUGCAGCCAUGCCGCGUGUAUGAAGAAGGCCUUCGGGUUGUAAAGUACUUUCAGCGGGGAGGAAGGGAGUAAAGUUAAUACCUUUGCUCAUUGACGUUACCCGCAGAAGAAGCACCGGCUAACUCCGUGCCAGCAGCCGCGGUAAUACGGAGGGUGCAAGCGAUAAUCGGAAUUACUGGGCGUAAAGCGCACGCAGGCGGUUUGUUAAGUCAGAUGUGAAAUCCCCGGGCUCAACCUGGGAACUGCAUCUGAUACUGGCAAGCUUGAGUUUCGUAGAGGGGGGUAGAAUUCCAGGUGUAGCGGUGAAAUGCGUAGAGAUCUGGGGGAAUACCGGUGACGAAGGCGGCCCACUGGACGAAGACUGACGCUCAGGUGCGAAAGCGUGGGGAGCAAACAGGAUUAGAUACCCCGGUAGUC
rnacentral:rRNA from 1 species